rnacentral:rRNA from 1 species
UACGUAGGUGACCAGCGUUGUCCGGAUUUACUGGGCGUAAAGAGCGCGCAGGCGGUCGUUCAAGUCGAGUGUGAAAGCCCCCGGCUCAACUGGGGAGGGUCAUUCGAUACUGAUCGACUUGAAGGCAGGAGAGGGAAGUGGAAUUCCCGGUGUAGUGGUGAAAUGCGUAGAUAUCGGGAGGAACACCAGUGGCGAAGGCGACUCGCUGGGCCGGUCCUGACGCUGAAACGCGAAGGCGUGGGGAGCGAACGGG